ensembl:lncRNA
GCAGGGACAGCAUUGGGAUGCAGUGGGGAUGCAGUGUAGGGACAGCAGUAGGAUGCAGUGGGGGCAGUGCAGGGACAGCAGUGGGAUGCAGUGGGGAUGCAGUGCAGGGACAGCAUUGGGAUGCAGUGGGGAUGCAGUGCAGGGACAGCAUUGGGAUGCAGUGGGGAUGCAGUGCAGGGACAGCAUUGGGAUGCAGUGGGGAUGCAGUGUAGGGACAGUAUUGGGAUGCAGUGGGGAUGCAGUGCAGGGACAGCAUUGGGAUGCAGUGGGGAUGCAGUGCAGGGACAGCAUUGGGAUGCAGUGGGGAUGCAGUGCAGGGACAGCAUUGGGAUGCAGUGGGGAUGCAGUGUAGGGACAGCAGUAGGAUGCAGUGGGGGCAGUGCAGGGACAGCAUGGGGAUGCAGUGGGGAUGCAGUGUAGGGACAGCAGUGGGAUGCAGUGGGGGCAGCACGAGGACAGUGCGUGGAUGCAGUGGGGACGCAGCGGGGACCCACCGGCCGUGUCCGUGCGCUGCUGGCUGUCCCUGGCGCCGUCUCCCCGUCCUGCGGGAUGGAGGCAGCACUGGGGUGGCAGUGGGGCGGCAGUGGGGUGGGGGGGGGGUCCAGCGUUCAGCCCCCCCCCCACCCCCCCCAACCCCCAUCCGGGUGACAGCAGCGCCCCCCGCCACACGCAGCACUCACUGUGCCGUCCCGCUGUGCGUCGGUGGGGACGGCGGCGGUGUCACCGUGCGGUGCCCCGGGGGGUGGUCCGGGGGGGGGGCCGUGGCCGUCCCUCUCAGUCCAGAGGCGGCUGUCGAGAGUGCGCAGCUCCUCCGAGAUCUCCUCCACCUUCCGCUUGGUGUCCCGCUGGGAGCGGCGACAGCAGCGCAGCGCAUCAACCCCCCGCCCCCACCCCCCCGCCCAACCCCCACACCCCCAAUUCCCGCGACGGCCAUGAAACCCUG